rnacentral:lncRNA from 1 species
AAUGAUGAGAAAUGGAAAAAACGGAAAUAAAGUCUUUGUAAAUAGGGAAGGGUGGAAGGGGUGAAGGGAGGGCUAGGAAUGAGGAAAAAAUAAGAACCAAGAUGCAUUAUGUAAAGGUACAGUUCCCAAUGAGAAAUGUAAUUGUGUUGUAUACCUAAAAUGUACCAAUAAAAGAAUUUAACAACCAAAUAAAAGUAUACCUUCUGUUUCUCUAGCACUGGCUGUUAUCUUACCUUGGAUUUCAUGGUGAGUGGCCUCUUACUCUUGUCUCACAUACCUCCUUUCUUCUUCAUGUAAUUAAGCUUACCUUUCUGAAAUGUAGAUCAUUACUUAAUCUCCCACUGAUCUUAGAAUGAUAAAACCCGAAUUUCUAAUUUGGUUGUAAAACACAGCUACUUCUGUUAUUACAGUUGAUUCUGUGUCCUCUUGAGUUCUUACAUUGUCUUGUCAGACAGAUCUUUCUGUUCUAGAACAUGCAGACUUUUUAGCAUGGGGUCUUUUUACUUCCUAGGGUGUAUUUCCACUGGCUCAUAGUUUUAGUGUAGGUAUCCUUUUCCUGUAAGGGUUGUUAGAGGAAACUUACCCUUUUACUUGUCCUCUAAGUUUUUUACCUGUAGCUUGGUAAGUGGAGCUGCAGUAAGAAAUAGAAGAUUUGUCCAAGAUUUAUUAGUAUUAAAUACUUUAGUGUGGUCCUAUUGUCCGUUUCUUAGCACUAAGAAAAGGGUUCUGUGUAUGGGUGAGAUGGAAAUUUGAGUAUUUAACAUUGCAGAUUCCUGAGUCACUGGCUUGUUACUGUGUUGACAUCCAUUAGCUGAAUUCCAUAGUGAAUCUUGUAAUUGCUGUUGGGAUCGAACUCUGGACCUUGCGCUUGCAAGGCGGUGGAACCAUUGAGUUAAAUCCCUGGCCUUGUGAUUGCUGUUUUUAGUAAGAAAAAUUAUCAAAUACAUGAUUCAACAUAAUACAUUAAUAUGCUUUUAUGUCUUAGAAGGCAAUUCAUUGAUUUUUUUUAUCAGGAAUUUUGCAUAUUACACAUUUAACUUGUUAGAUAUACUUUAUAAUCUGUUGUAAAUGUCCAUAGAAUAUUCUCAUUUAUAUUUUGGUAGAUACACCUUGAAAUUUGGAUUAAUUGGGGGAGGUAGAUGUAUAAUACUGAGUAUUCUUAUCCUGAAACAGGCUGUUCUGUCUUUAACAAAAUUUUGUAGUUUUGAUAACAGGUUUUGUGUACUUACUGUGGAGUUUUUUUUAGAGAUUAUUUUGUAGUUCUUUUAGUAUAUGUGCUGCCGAAGUGAGCACUAUUUUAUAGUUCUUAUUGGUUUAGUGAUUAUAUCUUUUCUACAUGUUCUAAGUAGCUAUUGUUGGAGUAUAAGACUUUGAUAUUUUGAUCAAAUCUAUGACCACUAAACUGAAUUCUCUUAAGUCAGUUUACUCUGUUGAAUUUUCUGACUAAACUCAUAUUUUCUCUACUAAAUUAUUAUGUAGUUUUCAGUAGUUACACUGUUUUUCUUCUCUUGUACAAGUUUUGAAUGCUACCAAAUUGCUCAGUAGUAGUAGAGCCUACCUUUGUCUUUUCCUUAUUUUAAUGGUAAUAUUGCACCAUUGUGAGAAUAAUGUAAAUGUCUUUUAUCAGUUUAUUAUAUUUAUUUUAGCUCACUAAGCUUUGUCAGAAAUAAUGUACUAAAUUUUAUGAAAUGUAUUUUUGGUGUCUCUUAAAUGAUCAUUUCUCUCCCUACCCUACCCAUCUAUUUAUUACCUAAUAGUGAACUGUGUUUGGAAUAAUUGAUACUGUAUAGUAUAGUAUUAAUUUAAUUCAGUGUUGGAUUUGAUUUCAUUAACAUUUUAAUUUAUAUUUUCUGUGAAGAUUACCUAUUUCAUGUUUUAGAGUUUCAAAUUUGCUGGGAGAAACUAUUCUUUCCUUGUAUCAGUCUUGUAAAGAUUUCUGUUUUAUACGUAUGCCUUUUCCUUUUAAUCUUAUAUGUUACAAUUUUAACUACAUGUGCCACUGAAGUUCUAGGAAGCAGUUUGAUCAGGUGCUUUAUUUGAUAUUUUAAUUUAGUAAUUUUUAAAAGUAACAAGUACUUUAAUGCAUACCUCUUAUAAUAACUGAAAUUUUAAAAAAUUGUGGUAAAUAACAAAACAUAAAAUUUGCCAUCUUAAGCGGUUCUAAGUGAACAAUUCAAGAAUGUUAAGUAUAUUCACAUUGUUGUGCAACAUAUCUCCAGAACUUUUUCAUCUUGUAAGACCAUAAGUGUACUGUAUAUCCAGGGAAUAAUAACUCCAUUUCUCCUUCCUCCUAACCUCCGACACUCACUAUUCUAUUUUCUGUUUCUGUGAAUUCUUUUACCUUAAAUAAUUCAUAGAAGUGAAAUCAUAUAGUGUUUGUAUUCAUAUGGGCUCUUGGAAGGAGAUGGGAACAUAAUUUUAUGUUUCCAAAUAGUUAAUUGAUUGAUGUAGCAAUUUCAUAGUCUGUUUCCCAAUUUUUGAAGUGCUACCUUUUUUUUGGUUCCGGGGAUUGAACUCGGGACCUUGCGCUUGUGAAGCAGGUGGCAGCGCCACUGAGCUAAAUCCCCGGCCCUUGUAAUUUUUGAAAAAUUUUUAUCUGUUAUCUCAAGACUAUUUUAUUUGAUGGCUUGGUUUUUACCAAUUUUCUGUUACAAUACGACUUUUUCUCCUUUUAAAGAAACAUUUUUACAUAUUUAGGAAGAAGUAUUACUUUUAUUUCAUAUAUUUGCACAAAAGAAUAAUAGAUUGGAUUUUAUCUGCUCAGUGUAUUCAUCUUUACGUAUAUAAUGUACUGCAUUUUUAUUAGCUGAAUGCCCAUAUACUAAAAGUAGUUGUACUAAGCAGUUGCCUAUGUUUGAUAAGUAGAUAACAUCUGUGUGGGAUUUUGUGGGUUACAAACUAAUUUAAUAUGUUUUUUAUUUAAUUGAAACAGUGGUCUUUUUUUUUUUUUUUUGAGACAGGGUCUCACUAUGUGGUUCAGACUGGCCUUGAACUCACUAUGUAGACCUCCAAACUAGCCUGAUCCUCCUGCCUGAGCCUCCCAAGUGCUGGGAUUACACCCUGCCCAGAGAGACAGUAGUCUUUUGAAACAUUUUUUCUUCCUAUUUCUAAGACUGCAGAUAGGCAUGACUUCCUUACUUUCUUCCUUUUCUUUAUAAAUUUCUAGUAUAGAAGUAAAAGUACUUUAGUGAAGAAGAAGAAGAAAAGAGCAGCACUAGGACUGGGGAUUUAGCUCAGUGGUUUCGCUGCCUGCUGUGCAAGUGCAAGGACCCGAGUUCAAUCCCCGGUACCAAAAAAAAAAAAAAAAAAAGACAAAAAGAGCAGCACUGACACCUGUAUAGUUUUUUUACUAGUUCAUAUGUUACUAGUCUUACUAGGCUGUCUUUGGAUUUGAGCAUCUUCGUAUAGGGUAAAGGACCUACAAACUUGGAAUGUUCUAUAGUUCUCUUGCACUAUUAUUCCAGUGUUCUUUUAGGUUUUUUUUUUUUUGUUUAUUUUACAUACUUCAGAUAAACUGGGAAUGAUUUAAAACAUAUAGUUUCUGUUCAGGAAAUGCCAAAAUAGAAGAACUUAUUUUGGGGAAAUAUAAACCAAAUCUAAAGUUAUAUUACUCUGUGAGUAAUAUUUUGUGUUUAUUCUAUGUUGGAGGAAUCUUAAAGGACUGUUACAUUAUCUUUUUGUUUUAUUAAAUCAUAUAAUAAAUACAUAGACUAAAGAAAUACAAAACAGUAGCAGAUGAUACAGAAUAAGAUUUGAAAAAAAAAUCUCCCCUUUAUAUCACAAGUAUAAAGUUUAAAGUUUAAGUUUAUUGUAAAUUCUAUGCCUUUUUCUGUACAUUUUCAGACACAUGUACAUACAGUACAUAUUUAUGUAACCACAUUUUUGUUUUGCAUAAAUGAGAGCAUUAUAGGGCCAGGGAUAGCUGCACCUGCCUUGAAAAGCGCAAGGUUCUGAGUUUGAUCUCCGGUACCAAAAUUAAAAAAGAGAGAGAGCAUUAUAAUAAAUACAGUAGUGUCUGAAACUUUUUUUUUUUAACUUGUUUUUAAAAUUGCUUUAACUUGUGUAUCUCCCUUUGUAUGUGGGAGAUCUUUUCAUAUGAGAAAGUUCUUUACUCUUAUCACAUCGCUACUUUUAUGUCAGUUCAUGAAGAGCACAGUCUUGGUAUUGCAGCUUUUUGUUUUCCAUGUGUGAACAACUUUGUUUUGUAUUAUGUGCAGCCUAUAAGAACAGCUUGCUUGAUAAGAGAACUCGUUCAUUUCCUUAGGAGGGGGCCUAGAAUGUUAAGAUUCAUACACCUUUUAAAUUACUAAGGCCCUACUGACCACGCUACCAUAGCAGAAGUUUUUUUUUUUCUGAAAAUUUUAAUCAAAUAAUUAAGGAGAAUCAAAGGAAUGGAAGUAGAUUGAGGUGGGUAAAAGAAUGACUGACUUCAGAUAGAAUUUGAGGAAAACAUCAAAGAAAAACAUAAUUGAAAAUUAAGAUUUGAGAGCACAUUGCAUUGAGUAAUCAUAGCUGCACUGAAAGGGAGGGGGCCACAAAAGGUUUAAAAAUUACCAAAAAUAAAUUUAAUGGAUGGGCUAAAUAGCAACUCAGCAUGAAUCAAGCCUGAGUUAUUGAUUUGGAAUUAAGAGGAGAAAUUAUCUACAUACAUGAAGCAAAAAAAAUCUAGAAAAACUGAUAAAAAUUUGUGGAAAAUACAUCACAGUGCAUGUCCAUAAAUAUGAGUUCUACAAGCACAGAUCAGAAACUAUGGGAAGGAGAAAAUAAUAAAAUUUCCUUUUUUUGGUACUGGGGGUCGAACUCGGGACCUUGCACUUGCAAGGCAGGCAGCGGAACCACUGAGCUAAAUCCCCGGCCUGAAGCAAAUUUCUGGAGCUGGAUAAAAAUAAUGAAAUUCAGAUCAAAAGUGCCUAUCUAGGAUGAAUGGAAAAAGAUUCACAUCUGGUAAAAUUUCAGAGCUCAAAGGUAUAAGAGAAAAUUUUUAAAACUUUCUGACAAGCAAAAGGAACAAAAUAUGGAAAAUUAAAUAACUGAGUUCUUAGCAGUCAUACUACAUGCUUAAAGAUAGUGAGGCAGUGCCUUUACCUUUCAAGAAAAAAACAUAAGUUGUAUCUAAAUCUUCUCUGCCCAACCACACUGCUUUGUGAGGACAAAUCAUUUUUUUUUUACACUCAUACACCCCAUGAAAAAGGUAUUUGAGAUACUACAGUGCAGAUACUACAGUGCAGGUACUUUAGAUACUAUAGUGAAAAAAGUAAUUUAAGAUCUUUUUUGGAUGGUGGAGUGUGUGAGGAAACAGUGAAAAUCCACACUGGCAGUCUUGGGCCUUCAAAAACAAGUGAGAGCUGGAAGGAAAUUUAGUUUUAUUAGCAAGAAGCACAUGAAAUGAUUCUUCAACUAGUAAUGAGUAAAUGAUAGGAAAUUACAUUUCACUGCAGUGACUAGUGUUUACUUAAUUGCAUUAUAAAUGCACUUAGUUUAAGUUUUAAGAAUCAACGUAGUAAGCUGGUAUGUAAGAUGGGCUCAAUUAUAGUUCUGGAAUAGAAUAUGUUAUAAACCUUUAAAAUGUAAAAUAAUGUACAUCAGGCGAUAGAAGAAAACAAAGGGCUGGUGUUCAUGUCUUCUUUGGACAGUCAGUACAUAGCUGUGUGAUAGUGUUUUGCCAUUUUGAUGCAGGAACAUAACAAAAAGACAUGUUGUUCAUCUUGUGCUUUUGUAACCUUUGAAUUUUUAAAAGACUCCAAGUACAUGCAUCACAUUUAUAAUAUUAAAGAGAUUGUAGGGCCAGGGAUUUAGCUCAGUCGUUCCGCCGCCUGCCUCACAAGUGCAAGGUCCUGCGUUAGAUCCCCAGUAGCCCCCCCAAAAAAGACUGUAGGUGUGUUCUGUAGCUAUUUGUCUUAACGACCACUACUGCUAUUGGUGAAGUGAAUACAUUCCAGUGUCACAUGGUUUUUAGAAACUGAGGUAGAAGAAAUACAGGGAUUAAUUCCAGGAAAUUAGAAAGUUGCGUAGAUUACAAAUGUCAGAGGCAUGAUUAUUUCUUGAUUGGCCCACACUCUGAAUUUUGCAUGUUAAAUCCCAACCAACAGGAAACUCUUUAAAAAAUUAUUGUGAAAGACUUAGAAAUAUGCAUGAAUUCUGAGUUCUUCCCUUCAAAUCUAAAUAAGAUAGCUUUGGGGGGGUUGUAUGCUAAAGAUAUCUUUGUCCUUAAGGUGGGUGUCAUGUGGUCAAGUAGAGGCAUAGCUACUGGAAGUGUGGAGAGUGUCUGCUGGAAGACUGGGAGAAGACAAAAAGGAAAUAGAAAUUGCCAUGGUCCCCUUACUUACAUCCUGUGUUGGUAUCGCUCUACUCUUCACAGAGGACACAUUGUGUCUCCCUCAAACAUUAUUUGUUGAAGGAAGGCGUCUUAAUUUUUUUUUUUUUUUUUUUGGUAUUGGGGAUGGAACUCGGGACCUUGCGCUUGCAAAGCAGGCGGCAGAACCACUGAGCUAAAUCCCUGGCCCUGGAAUCUUAUUUUGAUGCCGUGUUAAAGUCAAAUUGAUAUUGUUUAUGUUCUUAAUAUAGACAAAAUGUUUUUGAAAGCUUUUAGCUUAAGAACAUGAUCUUUUGAGAAGCAGAUUUCUAAAAGUAUGUUUUUCUUUUCUUUUUCUUUUUUUUUUGUUUUUUGGUACCGGGGAUUGAACUCGGGUCCUUGCACUUGCACAGCAGGCGGCCAAACCACUGAGCUAAAUCCCCAGCCCCUAAAAGUAUGUUUUUCUGAUUUGAUUUUUUAAAAUAGAAAAUCUUAUGGUUAUUUAAGUCUUUAAGGAUUGACAACAGACUUCAGAAGAUCCUAAUACCUGGGUACUAUAUAGUGAUUCUACUUGAAUUAGCUUUCCACGCAUGCUAGAGUGCUGAAAAAAUAAGGUAUGCAAAUAUCUUAAAUUCAGUAUGAUCAUUUUACUGGAAAUUGUGAAAUUUGUAUGUGGGGGCGGGUUCCUCAAGCACAUAAAAGCAAACUUAAGUACAAAAUUAUGUUUGGCAGUGAAGUUACACUUUUUAAUAUUUUGCAAGCUAUUAGUUACUGUGUCUUUAGCCUUCCAGUAAUAGGAUUUAUUUCACUAGGGAAAAUUGGCGUAUAUAUUCUUGAAGAGGAAGAGAAUUGGUAUAUUUUUCAAAAUACUUUAAUAAGAAAUUGCUAUCAGAGGAUUUGAAAGAUAUAAGUAUGGGUCAAAUUUGAUUCCAUAACGCAUAGUGUGUUACCUGUUAUACACAUAUUGUGUUAGUCUUUGUUAGAGAUUUGGUAGUAACUAGGUAUCUGAAAUUUAUGGAGAAAGUUCUAAGUAAUUGUAACAUUUCUAGUAUCAAGAUAGCCUCAUAAUGACCGCAGAGGUACUUCAUUUAUAUGAGAGUGAUAUAUUUUUUCUUUUCUCACCCACAGUACGAAAGAUUAAACCCAGGGAAUACUGAGCUACAUCCUCAGACCUGUCUAAAGAUUUUUUUGUUUUGGAGACAGAGUUUCACUAUGUAGUUCAAGCUGGCCUUGAACACUCAAUAUGUAGCCCAGGCUGGCCUUGAACUUGCCCUGAUCCUCCUGCUUCAGCCUCCUAAGUGCUGGGAUCACAGGUGUGCACCACUAUGCCUGGCACUAAAACAUUUUUUAUUUGAGACAGUGUCUUGCUAACUUGCUCCGGUUGGCCUUGAACUUGCAAGGCCAACAUGCACCACCAUGCCUGGUUUGAGAUCAGUAUUUCUUUGUUUUGUUUUAUUUGUUUUGAGAUAGGAUUUCACAGUAAUGCCAAAGCUGGUCUUUUAACUGCUGGGCCGAAGUUAACUUGCUCACCUCUGCCUCCCAGGUGGCUAGAACUACAGUUACAUGCCACUACAUCUGGCUGAGAUCAGUAUAUGUGAGGGUAGUGAAGAAAUCCUGUCUAUGUUCACUUUGAGAAUUUUGGGGUUCUUUUUGUUUUUUGUUUUUUUUUUGGUACCAGGGAUUGAACUCGGGUCCUUGCGCUGAGAACUUUGGAAGGUCAUAGUCAUGCUCUUGAGAUUCUCUCUGUGACAACCCCUAACUAUCCUGUCUGGUAUUGUCAGGAUCAGGACAAUGGAAAAGGGUUGCUCCGUUUUGCAUUUUUUAGCCUAGCUCUUGCUGGAUAGACAAUUUAAAACAAUACAUUUCUUAAUUAUGAGCUUGAAAAAUUAUUUUGGUAAUUGAAAUAAUUGCCUUUAGGUAAGUCAUUAAAAGUUAGAUAUGGGUAGUUUAGUCUGGAAAUACAGAGUGAUAACUGAUAUUUUGAUACUAUACUAAUUGGAGCUUGACAUCAGGAGCCUGGACCAUCAAGAAACCAGAGAAGGAGAGCCAGUGACUACAAUGGGACUCCAUGAAUAUUUGGGUUGUUUUUAUAUUCACACUAUUCUCCAUGCUUUUAGAUUUAAGAUUUUUCUUACAAUUUCAAUUUUUUUUUGGUACCUGGAAUCGAACUCAGGGCCUUGAACUUGGCAGGCAGGCACUGUGCCCCUGAACCACAUCCCCAGACCUGCAGUUUCAGUACCUGGAAUCGAACUCAGGGCCUUGAGCUUGUCAGGCAGGCACUGUGCCCCUGAACCGCAUCCCCAGACCUACAGUAUCAAUUUUUACUCCCAGUUCUCUUCUCUGUCUCCGUGUGUGUGUGUGUGUGUGUGUGUGUGUGUGUGUGUUUGUUUCUUUUUUGUUAAUAGAUACUUGUAGCUUUGGAGCAGAUGACAGUUAAUUUGUUGAUAACCAGAUUGAAAAUGUUGUACCACUAGUACUAGUAGUAGUAGUAGGUUUAGCCUGUUUAAAAACAAAAACAUUGAAAUAAGUAAUUUGUAUUAUGCAUGUGUUCAUUUUUACUUUUAUUUGCAAAUCAUAUGCAACACAGACAAGUUUGGGAGAUGGAUGUGACUUAAAAAUAUUUUAUCAAUCUUCAGUAUGCAGUCUGUUGUGAAGUACUAGAAAGACAAUAAAUUCACGCUAUGAUGUAUAAUGGGUAGAGAUAACAAAUGCAAGAGUGCAGCAGAGACUGGACAUGUGAGAGAGAGGCCAUCUCCUUUGCUUCUUACUUUGCUGAGUAUGUUACGCAUAUUUGGACAAGACUGUACUUAUUCUGUACAUAGGACACAUCUGGGUGAAAUAGUUUGCAUUUAAAUACUUUAUAAGGGCCGGGGUUUUAGCUCAGUGGUUCCGCUGCCUGCCCCAUAAAACACAAGGGCCUGAGUUCGAUCCCUGGUACCAAAAAUAAAUAAAUACUGUAUAAAGUGAGUCUACUGUCCUAAGUUGAAUUUUAAAUUUUAUUUAGAAGAUUAGGAAAGAACAGAAAGAGAUUGUAAUUAAUUAGAGAAGAAGAAAAAGAAAGCAUUGAAAGCAUUUUAAUGUUAAUUUAGUCAAAAGUCAUGAUUGAGUUAAUCAGGAUUAAGACUUUUUUUUCAAUUUUUUUUUUCCUGGUAUCAGGGAUGGAACUCAGGACCUUGUGCUUGUGAGGCAGGCGCAGCACCACUCAGCUAAAUCCCUGGCCCAGGAUUAUAGACUUUUGAAGGUAGAUUAAUUUUAUUUGCUAUUCGAUAUCCAGUGUGUAAGCUUGCUACCUAAUAAGCACUCACUGAAUAUUUGCAUAAAUGAAUGCCUAAAAUAUUAAUAACAAUCUAAAAAAAGGCUUAUUAGGGCUUUUUAUAAUAUUAGCCUUGGAAAAAGUUUAUUUAAGCAAUACACAUUUAAAAAUAUUUAAAAACAGUACAUACCCUUCCUCAUAUUUGGAAUUUAAAAGAUAGCCUUUGCAGUUGUUUUUUUUUAAAUUUAAUUUAGGAGAUUACAGUUUUAUAUAUCCUUAAACUUUGUCAUCUAAGUCUUUUAGGGUAUUCCACUUUAUCUAGAAGCAUGUCUUUAUUCUGGAGAUUCUGGUCAAAAUUCUUAUUUUUAAUUGUUAUCCACUGAAUCCUAUCCAGGAUGUAUGUUAAGAACUUAAGGCUGGGCAUGGUGGCAUAUGCCUGUAAUCUCAGGUACUUACCAGGCUGAGGCAAGAGGAUCGCAAGUUCCAACCCAGCCUGAGCAUCUUAGCGAGACCCUGCCUCAGAAAAAACAUAAAAAAUUGGGAUUGGACUAUUUGAUAUUUUAUGUUUAAAAAAAAAAAAAGGUGGUGUAGUACUGUCUUCCCUUUGGUGUACUUUAGAUUUUUCUUCUUCUUCUUCUUUUUUUUUUUUUUGGUACCGGGGAUCGAACUUGGGUCCUUGUGCUUGCGCAGCAGCGGCGAAACCACUGAGCUAAAUCCCUGGCCCCACGUUAGAUUUUUUUAAUAAUGAUGGACUGAUUACUUUUGAAUUUUAUGCUUUAAAAAUGAAUAAUUUGAAAAUAAGAAAGUAAGUUGGAUGACAGAUAUAGCUAGCUAGCAGGAAUUUAUUUACGAGAACAUGUAUAUCCAAAUAUUUCCUGAAGAUUUCUGGAUAUUUAGAGUACUAAAUAUUUCCUGAAGAUUUCUGGAUAUUUAGAGUACUAAAUUUUGGCAAAAAUAGUUGUUUACAAUUUAAAGAACCCAUUAAACCUGGGUGUGGUCUUGCAUGCCUGUAAUCCCAGAACCUCGGAAGACUGAAGCCAGAGUCCAGCCUUGGCAAUUUAGAGAGUUAAGGAGAUCCUGUUUAAAAUAAAAAAAAUUUUAACAAAGGCUGGGGAUGUGGCCCAGUGGAAGGACCCUGAGUUCAGUCUCUAGUAUUAAAAACAGACAAAGCCCAUUAGAUCUUCAGUAUGAUUUGUGGCUUAGUAGUGUUUUUUUUCAAGGCAGUAUCAUUUGACACAUUUUUUUCUCCAACUACUUAUAUAUUGAUAGACUCUGCAUUGUGGCUUGCUUUUCUUUUUUCCUUCUUCCCAGUUGACAUCUAAUCUAGCAAAAAUGAAUUUAUUUAAUUUUUGAUAAAGAGCCUAAGUUAGAUGGGAAGAGGUGUAAUUUGACAUUCCUUGAAAAGUGAAGAUGUGGAGGAACUAAAUAAAGGCUAGAUAUGUGUUUUAUAGCUAAUGCAGAUUUUAGGUCUGGGUUUUUAAAAUACUGUAGACUUGUGUCAGUGGUACUUUGUAGGGAAGCAGGCAGUCUCAUUUACUGUAUAAAUUAGUUGAAUUUUUGGAGGAUAAUUUGCUGACCUACAUUAAAAUUUUAAAUACAUGUACACUUCAAGAAAUUUAUUAUAUGGUUAUAUUCAGGCAUAUACAGAGCAUUUAUGUCCAAGGUUCAUUGUAGCAUUAUGAAAUGUUAGAAACAAUGUAAAUGCCUAUAGUGUACUGACUAUAUCAUAGUUCUUUAGUGAAUAUUUGAGCAGCUGUCAAGAGUAAAAGAUAGUUGUAUAUGCUGCUCUGAAACAGUUCAUCAUGGAGUACUGCGUCUAAAAUAUGGGGGUGCAAAAAAGUACUGUUAGUCUUCAGUAAUCCCUUGUGUUUUUGGAGAAUUGAGUCCAAGGCCCCAAAAUCUGUGGAUGCUUAAGUCCCUUAUAUAAAAUAGCCAUCAUUUGCAUAUGGCAUAUUUGUGUCGUCACAUAAACUUUAAGUAAUUUCUGUACUAUUUAACACAAUGUAAAUAUUUGUACUGUGUUGUUUAAGGAAUAGCAACAAGGAAAAUGUCUGUAAAUGUUCAGUACAAGUGGAUUUUUUUCCUUGAAUAUUUUUAAUCUGUGAUAGAUAGGAUGCAGAACCCAUGAAACUGUAAUAUUCUUCCAUGUAUAUAAAACAUAACAUAUCAAUUUUGGAUUGAAAUAUGUCAAGUUACACUGGUGGUUGUGCCUCUCAGGGGUUGGUGAGGGGAUCACUUUCCCUGUACAUGUAUUCUUUACAGGUAAAAACCAGUUAAUGAAAAAUGACAACUAAAAUAAGCUGUACUGGUAAUGAAAAGAAUGUUACUAGGCUACGUUAGAUAUAUACUUGGAACGUUUUAUUACAGGACUGGUUUCAGAGAGAAAUAAGGUAAAAUCAUGGGGAUGUACACAUGGUUGUUUUAAUAAUAUAUGGACUUUCAAAAAUUUUACCGAAUUCGGUCUUUUAUUUUGAAGUCUUUAAAGUGUCUUUAAUAUCUGUCUUCAUUUAUUCUCGAUCUGGGCUGUUGCACAUGAUUUCAAGUUCUGUUAAGCUAUACCUUGGCUUACACAGUAGAAAAAGAAAAUUUCAUACAUUUUGAGAAGUGAAAUUGUUUCAGGGGUUUUUUCCCACUAAGUUGUUUGUAUGUGGAUGUGUGUAUUUGUCCUGCUACCAGUUGUCUGUAUUUGUAUUGUUUGCAAAUGGGGGAUUUUAAAGCCUAACCAUUCAUUAAAUAGAAAAAAAUUAAUAGGAAUAAAACUUCUUUACAAAGAAUUGUUGAUUUUGAAAAGUUUCAUUUGGAGGACAAAGGGCAAAGUUAAGUCAUGCAAAAUAGGGUUCCUUGUUCUUAGUGCAUUUCUGCAUAUUUUCCUUUCAGUUUCUUUUUUCCUGUUCAAGGAAAGCAGUGCUGGUUCUAAGUAUUAAGCUGCUUCAGUCCUUUUCUCACUUUUUUUUUUUUUUUUCCCCUGAGACAGGGUCUCACUUUGUAGUUCAGGCUGGCCCUGAACUCAUUAUGUAGCUCAGGCUGGCCUCGAACCUGGAGGCAAUCCUCCUGCCUCUGCCUCUGCCUCCUGAGUGCUGGGAUUACAGGCGCGAGCCACCUCGCCUGGCUCCUUUUCCCACUUUUUAAUGUGAAGCUUCACUGCACAUUUUAAUCUUAUUUUAGUCAAUAUUUGUAUUUACAGUUUUGAAUUAUUUUUAUGUUAUUUUACAUGUGUUUGCGUAGGUUAGCAUGUUAACUAUUAUUUACACUUUAAUGUCUGUCACUGACCAGAAAACAUGACAGGUUUUGUGCCAUUGAAAUCUUUCUUAGACAAAUGGAAAGACAAUUUGUUUCCCUGUAAAAUGAGGCAAAGAUGACUCACUUUUAGGAUGAUAAAGUCUAAGACAUAUGUGUAUGUGUCUCUUUUUUUGCAUACACUUUUGCCUAAAAUAUUUUGCUGUGACAUAGUUCAUCAGAUUAACAAAAUGUCAGGAAAGCAAAAUUAAUGGGAAAAGUAACUAUGUAAACAAAAAUUAUAGAAAAUUUAAAAUUUAUACUCUGUUCUGCAUUGAAUGUCUCCAGCGUCUUAUUUCAAUGACUAAAAAUACAGUUAAAGAACAAAUAUCUUUGUCAUCAAAAAUUGUUAUGUAGUAGUAGGGGUUAUGCAUAUGCAAGGCCCUGGGUUUGAUUCCCCAGUGCUCACCCUUGCUCCCCAAAAAAUCAUUACUAGUGGUAAAAGUGAUGUAAAAAGGGUUAGGAUGUGUUAUUGGGCAUCAAACGUUAUUCAUGCGUUUGUUUACUCAAGAAAUACUUCAUGGCCGGCUCAUGCAGCCACCUGCUGACCCUGGGUAUGCAUUGUCAAGAAGUAUUCUUACUUUCAUCAAGCUUCUGGUCUUUAGGGAAGACAGAUAAUAACUGGUACAUAAACACCCAUAGUACUGUAGAAAAGCCAUAAUCACAUACUUGUUAUUAAAAACUUGCGGCUGGGCUUGUAACUCAGUGGAAGAGUGAAUGCCAGGCCUUGAGUUCGAUACCCUGCACCACAAAAACAAAAGCUUAACAAUAAGCAUCAAAAAAUGUGGAAGUACCCUCACACCCUACAAUCAUAGACCAGAAGGGAAAGUGAAUGGUGUAAUUGAUUUAAGUUUUAGGGGAGUCUGAUUUUUAAAUCAAAUAAUGGAUUCAGAAAGCUUAUUCUUAGCUUGUGAAAAAAUGAGUACUCCAGUGUGUGGUUUCUUUUAACUCAAACCUGUCUUUGCUUACUUAUACUGAAGAAGUUUUGAGGAAGAGAAAGUUUGUUGGUGAUUUCAGUAUAGAGAUGAAAGUUUAUUUGGAGCAUACAUGUAAUUGACCUGGAAGGUAGAAAAUAAUGAAAACCAAUUUGCUGGUUCCUCCUUAAAACAGAUCGUAGGGGUGGACGCUACUUUGUUUGAGAAUUCACCAAAUGCUAAGCAUAAUGUUUUCAUACAUAAAUGAAAGCAUUAGAUGUGGUCUGAGGAAAACAUAAUAUCAUUACUUUGCCAUUCAUUCCACCUAUCCCUUUGAAUCACACACAUUUCUGGGUUUGAAUUUAGAUUUGAUUCUGAUACAUAGCUGUGCCCUGUCUGAAGCUUGGUAUCCUUUUCUAUAAAAUGAGAAUGUUAUCACUUGGAGCAAGUGUUCUGCUUGAUUCUGGGGCUAGAACAUAGAGCCAGAUGCCUAGAUUCAAAUCUUAGCUCCUGAGCUGGAUUAGUUUAGUUUGGAAUAACUGGUCAAGUUGGUUAGCCUCUCUGUGCCCUAGUUUCCACCCGUGUAUAAUGGGGAUGAUAGUAACAGCACUUUUUAGGAUUAUUGUGAGAAUUAAGUGAGUAAAUAUAUACAGAGCAUUUUAAAUAGCAUAUUGUUAUUCUUUGGUACAGUAAUAAUGCCUCCUGAAUACCAGAAACUAUGUAGUAGGACUUUAUCUCAUUUCGUUUCAUGUAAACCUGUUAAGAAGCAUUGUCUGACUUGUUGAUUGUACUUGGAACACUUUCUGGUAUACAGUAAAUGUGCCAAGUUUCCUGUAGUAGUGUUUUAUCAUCAGAAAAAAGACUUUAUUUAUUUAAUUUUUUUUGGUUAAUAAAAAGUUAAAGGCACUACCAUAAAAUGAAUGCAUCAUGGUGUAUGUCUUGUUUCAAAAAUUGUAAAUCAGUUGAAUAUUAAUAUUGUUUUCAUAGGUAGUUACAGAUUAUUUUAUAGAAAGUCAGUUUGUCAUUAAAAGCUACAUUAGAUGAUUAGUAUUCUCAAAUCAACAGUUAUAAUAUGUCUGUUAAGCAGCCCAUUUGCCUUAUGUUGUGUUGCAGAUUCCUACCUUAAUGUAUAUAUGUCACCUCCUUUGGGUCUUCACUACAGCCGUUAAGCUCACUACAGUGCUUUACUAAGGAUAGUUUGCUGCAUCACCCACUUCAGCCUCUUUUGUUCACCCAGGAAGCCAGACAUAUUAAAUAGCCUUUACAAUGUACAUAUAUAUCCAAUUACUUUGUUUUUGAAAUUUUAGAAUUUUAUAAUUUGAAAUGGUAAACUUACUUUUUUUUUAUUCUUGGCUGUUGAAAUUACUUGACAGAACUUUGCUUUGGAAUAGAGCUUCUGUAUCUUUAAAAAUACACGAGUCACCCCCUGCUCUUUUGGUAGAUGCCUGGCUAGUCAACAGCUAAGCUGCUUUAGGCAUAUAAUAGAACAUUCCAUUUCCUGUUCCCUUGCUGACACAGAGGAGUGUUCCUGCUGGCAAUGAUCUAAUCACAGUGCAGUAAGAAACAUGGCAGUUUGAUAAAACAUGGUGGAGACAGCGGCUGAAAUGGAAGCAUAUGUUCUAGAAGACAUUCUAGAGGUGGAGUCUUUCAUUUUAGAUCAGGAUGAUUUGGAAAAUCCAAUGCUGGAGACAGCUUCAAGUUGCUCUUGUCAGGUACUGCUGAUGGUGCAGACCUCAGGACGGUAGAUCCGGAGACACAGGCCAGACUGGAGGCUCUGCUAGAAGCGGCAGGUAUGUCUAAGCCCUCCCUAUGAAGAGACUGUCUUAUUAUUCAUUGCUGGUGCAGACCUCAAGAGGGUAAAUCCAGAAACAUAGGCCAGACUGGAACCCUUGCUAAAAGUGGCAGGAAUUUCUAAGCUCUAACAGAGUUAAGAAUCUGUCUUAUCAUUCAUGAAAACCAUGAGCUUCAAUAUGGCAUGGUUUCUCUUAUAGAGAGGAAUCUAAAAAUGUAAAGAACAAAAUAAAAGAUAAUGGGAAGUAGGUAGAUAGAUCUUUUCAAAUAGAAAGGAGUCAAGAGAUAGAGCAAUGGGGGAGAGGGAUAAAUGUGUUUUGUAUGUGUGCCAGCUCCCAUAAAGAGUGUAGUAACUGUGUACUGCAAACAAGUAGUAAUAAAAAAUAAAACCUGAAGAAAAGAAAAAAUGUUAUUUUAAAUGUAUGAUCUUACACAGUGUAAUACUCUUUAUAAGGUUAAUCAAUUUAUCUAGAAUUAU